UACGUAGGGUGCUAGCGUUGUCCGGAUUUAUUGGGCGUAAAGGGCUCGUGAGGCGGCGUGUCGCGUCGGGAGUGAAGCCCGCUGCUUAACGGCGGGUUGGCUUCCGGAUACGGGCAUCGCUGGAGUGCGGCAGGGAGACUGGAAUUCGUGGUGUAGCGGUGGAAUGCGCAGAUAUCAAGGAGGAACACCGGUGGCGAAGGCGGGUCUCUGGGCCGUACCUGACGCUGAGGAGCGAAAGCGUGGGGAGCGAACAGG
rnacentral:rRNA from 1 species